rnacentral:rRNA from 1 species
UGAGGAAUAUUGGUCAAUGGGCUUACGCCUGAACCAGCCAAGUCGCGUGAGGGAAGACUGCCCUAUGGUUGUAAACCUCUUUUGUCAGGGAGCAACAACAUCUACGAGUAGGUGUUACGAGAGUACCUGAAGAAAAAGCAUCGGCUAACUCCGUGCCAGCAGCCGCGGUAAUACGGAGGAUGCGAGCGUUAUCCGGAUUUAUUGGGUUUAAAAGGGUGCGUAGGCGGAAUGUCAAGUCAGCGGUCAAAAUCGCGGGGCUCAACCUCGCUUCGCCGUUGAAAC